AUUGAACGCUGGCGGCAUGCUUUACACAUGCAAGUCGAACGGUAACAGGCCGCAAGGUGCUGACGAGUGGCGAACGGGUGAGUAAUGCAUCGGAACGUGCCCAGUCGUGGGGGAUAACGCAGCGAAAGCCGCGCUAAUACCGCAUACGAUCUAUGGAUGAAAGCGGGGGACCGUAAGGCCUCGCGCGAUUGGAGCGGCCGAUGUCAGAUUAGGUAGUUGGUGGGGUAAAGGCUCACCAAGCCAACGAUCUGUAGCUGGUCUGAGAGGACGACCAGCCACACUGGGACUGAGACACGGCCCAGACUCCUACGGGAGGCAGCAGUGGGGAAUUUUGGACAAUGGGGGCAACCCUGAUCCAGCAAUGCCGCGUGCAGGAAGAAGGCCUUCGGGUUGUAAACUGCUUUUGUACGGAACGAAACGGUCUGGGUUAAUACCCUGGGCUAAUGACGGUACCGUAAGAAUAAGCACCGGCUAACUACGUGCCAGCAGCCGCGGUAAGAC
rnacentral:rRNA from 1 species